rnacentral:misc_RNA from 1 species
GUGAAUCAUCUAAUCUUUGAACGCAAAUUGCACUCUCUUCGGAGAGUAUGCCCGUUUGAGGGUCAGCCUAAAAAAAAUCGACGUAGUCGCGGUUUCGCGGUGACAUUCGUUGGAAAUUGGUUCAUCUUAAACCUUUGGGUUUUUUAAGCGUCUUAAAAUUUUCUUUUCGAUUCCACUAUCGUUUGUAAGAUUUUACUUCUUACAAACGUUUAAGGUAUCGAUCGUUAUUAGACGUGGCCUGUGCUGCGGAUCUCGUCUAUAAA